GGAGAGAUGUCCGAGUGGCCGAAGGAGCACGAUUGGAAAUCGUGUGUAUCGCGAGGUACCGAGGGUUCGAAUCCCUCUCUCUCCGCCA
rnacentral:tRNA from 1 species